UACGGAAGGCAGCAGUGGGGAAUAUUGCACAAUGGGCGCAAGCCUGAUGCAGCCAUGCCGCGUGUAUGAAAAAGGCCUUCGGGUUGUAAAGUACUUUCAGUCGUGAGGAAGGUGUUAAGGUUAAUAACCUUAGCAAUUGACGUUAGCGACAGAAGAAGCACCGGCUAACUCCGUGCCAGCAGCCGCGGUAAUACGGAGGGUGCGAGCGUUAAUCGGAAUUACUGGGCGUAAAGGGCACGCAGGCGGUUAAUUAAGUUUGGAUGUGAAAUCCCCGGGCUUAACCUGGGAAUGGCAUUCAAGACUGGUUAGCUAGAGUCUUGUAGAGGGGGUGAAAUUCCAUGUGUAGCGGUGAAAUGCGUAGAGAUGUGGAGGAAUACCGGUGGCGAAAGGCGGCCCCUGGACAAAGACUGACGCUCAUGUGCGAAAAGCGUGGGGAGCAAACAGGGAUUAGAUACC
rnacentral:rRNA from 1 species